rnacentral:sRNA from 1 species
AGGGGUCCAGAGACAGAGGCCUCCAGUUCCCAGGCACCUCGGGAAGAGAGGCUGAAAUGAUGCAUCAGAUUUACAGCUGCAGUGACGAGAACAUAGAAGUUUUCACCACCGUGAUUCCUUCCAAGGUAUCCAGUCCAGCCAGAAGAAGAGCCAAAAGCUCUCAACACCUCUUGACCAAGAAUGUGGUGAUCGAAUCGGACCUGUACACGCACCAGCCCCUGGAGCUGCUGCCCCACCGCGGAGACCGCAGGGACCCUGGCGACGGCCGCAGGUUCGGGCGGCUCCAGACCGCGCGGCCGCCCACAGCCCACCCCGCCAAAGCCUCUGCCAGACCCGUGGGGAUUUCUGAACCCAAAACAUCAAAUCUGUGUGGGAAUCGAGCAUAUGGAAAAUCUCUGGUAAGUAAAAUAAGCCUGCUUAGUUGUAUCUGUUGUGCAUUAAACUUCUGGUCAUGUCUGAUUCUCCUGUGCCACGAAGAGAGACUCAGUGUUCUUUGUUCCAGGCCUGAGGAUUAUUAGAAAAGCAUAACUGGCAGUUCUUUGCUCCCAAAAGCUCUCAGUUGGCCCUAAUUUGUACCCUUG